rnacentral:rRNA from 1 species
AGAGUUUGAUCCUGGCUCAGGACGAACGCUGGCGGCGCGCCUAACACAUGCAAGUCGAACGAGCGAGAGAGAGUUUACUUUUUCGAGCGAGUGGCGAACGGGUGAGUAACGCGUGAGGAACCUGCCUCAAAGAGGGGGACAACAGUUGGAAACGACUGCUAAUACCGCAUAAGCCCACGGCUCGGCAUCGAGCAGAGGGAAAAGGAGUGAUCCGCUUUGAGAUGGCCUCGCGUCCGAUUAGCUAGUUGGUGAGGUAAUGGCCCACCAAGGCGACGAUCGGUAGCCGGACUGAGAGGUUGAACGGCCACAUUGGGACUGAGACACGGCCCAGACUCCUACGGGAGGCAGCAGUGGGGAAUAUUGCACAAUGGGGGAAACCCUGAUGCAGCGACGCCGCGUGGAGGAAGAAGGUCUUCGGAUUGUAAACUCCUGUUGUUGAGGAAGAUAAUGACGGUACUCAACAAGGAAGUGACGGCUAACUACGUGCCAGCAGCCGCGGUAAAACGUAGGUCACAAGCGUUGUCCGGAAUUACUGGGUGUAAAGGGAGCGCAGGCGGGAAGACAAGUUGGAAGUGAAAUCCAUGGGCUCAACCCAUGAACUGCUUUCAAAACUGUUUUUCUUGAGUAGUGCAGAGGUAGGCGGAAUUCCCGGUGUAGCGGUGGAAUGCGUAGAUAUCGGGAGGAACACCAGUGGCGAAGGCGGCCUACUGGGCACCAACUGACGCUGAGGCUCGAAAGUGUGGGUAGCAAACAGGAUUAGAUACCCUGGUAGUCCACACCGUAAACGAUGAUUACUAGGUGUUGGAGGAUUGACCCCUUCAGUGCCGCAGUUAACACAAUAAGUAAUCCACCUGGGGAGUACGACCGCAAGGUUGAAACUCAAAGGAAUUGACGGGGGCCCGCACAAGCAGUGGAGUAUGUGGUUUAAUUCGACGCAACGCGAAGAACCUUACCAAGUCUUGACAUCCUGCGACGGUGCUGGAAACAGUACUUUCCUUCGGGACGCAGAGACAGGUGGUGCAUGGUUGUCGUCAGCUCGUGUCGUGAGAUGUUGGGUUAAGU